GAUGAACGCUGGCGGCGUGCCUAAUACAUGCCAGUCGAGCGAACAGACGAGGAGCUUGCUCCUCUGACGUUAGCGACGGACGGGUGAGUAACACGUGGAUAACCUACCUAUAAGACUGGGAUAACUUCGGGAAACCGGAGCUAAUACCGGAUAACAAAUUGAACCGCAUGGUUCAACAGUGAAAGACGGUCUUGCUGUCGCUUAUAGAUGGAUCCGCGCCGCAGUAGCUAGUUGGUAAGGUAAAGGCUUACCAAGGCAGCGAUGAGUAGCCGGCCUGAGAGGAGGCCCGGCCACACUGGCACUGAGACACGGCCCAGGCGCCUACGGGAGGCAGCAGUGGGGAAUGUUCCGCAAUGGGCGAAAGCCUGACGGAGCAAUACCGCGUGAGGGAAGAAGGCUCUUGGGUUGUAAACCUCUUUUCGUAGGGAAGAACAAAAUGACGGUACCUAAGGAAUCAGCAUCGGCUAACUCCGUG
rnacentral:rRNA from 1 species